GGAUCGGCCUGGCCGGCGGCGGUGCGUUACUCGCCGUUUUCACCGGCGCGGUCGCGCUUCGCCGGCGUCGACCGGUCACGCCGGUCGUCGGUCUUC
rnacentral:tRNA from 1 species